rnacentral:lncRNA from 1 species
GUUUGCUGGGCUGUCUCAUGUACUUUUUUAGAACCCCGCAGGGACUCUGGAGAGACGUAAACUAGCUUGUGGCCUCCUCUCUGGAUUUGGCAGACAUCCUUCACAAUGCAUGGUUUGGGAUUACAGCUAUUCCUAGUUUUAUUAGACUUCUCUUUUCUACCUUUUAUUCUUAGUUAUUUUGUAGGCUCAGCUAGUAUAAUGUAAUAAAAACAACUUUACCAUGACAUGUUUUCCCAGAAAUAUGGAAGUAGGAAGGAAAUUGAAAGGAAUAUUUUAGAUUUUUCUCUCUCUCACAGUACUUACAAUAAAACAAAAAUCAAGCUCCUUUUUACUCAUGGCUUUUAACUCUUUUCUGCACGUAGGUGAGGGGUUCAAUAGCAACCAAAUAAAGAGAAUGGAUUUAAUCAAUCUAAAUGGACUGUGAUCUAGUUUGGGAUGUAACUAAUGGAAAAUGCAAAUGGCAACUUAAACCUCCACAUUGUUUGUUACAUGAGUGAUAAAUAUAGCCUUUUCCCUGUGUAGUCCUCCGGAGGAAACUUCUCAAUCUGGGGAACCAUUGAAAAUUAUGAUGAAAUUUUGCCUCUUCCUUGACCAAUCUUCCCUUCAAAGCACCCUUGGCUUCUUAAUAGACUCAACAGUAUAUUAAGAAUAAAUGGCUUCCCUGGGGCUACAGAGGGCAAGUGAAAGAGUUAUGGGUAUCAGGACUAGAGUAAAACUAGCACUAUUUAGGUCAUAAAUGGAAAUGUCACUGUGUUCUAGCACUGUUUGCUUUGCCUAUUUAUGAUUUUAGUUAUUUAUACUCUGCUUUGUUUUAAAAAUAUUUCAGGCAACUUACAAAAAUAUACAGAAUAAAAACAAAUAAGUGAGGAAAUUGAGGUAAAGGGAAAAUAUUAUGGAAAAAACAAGAUGAAGCAAGAGGUGAAAGAAUUUAACCAAUGUUUGCUGCAAACUUCUGUCUUGUUGCUAAACAUGGACUGGUUAUUUGGCUCAGAGCUUUCUAGCUGCCCUCGCGAAGAGGGAAAUGUAAUUAGUUACAAGAUUCACAGACUCAUUAAGAUAUAAACAAGGCCACCGCUCAGGAGACUUGCUUAAUAUUUCUGAUACUAAAAUGCUGGGUUAAAAUGCAGUUUGUUUUCUUAACGACAUUCGUGGGGUAAAUAAAACAAGUUUCACAGACAAGUUUUUUGUAACUUCCCUUAAUAAAAUUCAGGGGCAUAACACCAAGGAGUAAUUCAUUUAAAAUUUAUCCCAGCAUUGGCUAGAAUGUGACGGUUCAGGUGCAGACUCCUGCUGGUUCGUAGAAUUCGAGUAUUCAGAGAAAUGUAUUCAUUGUGAAAAUUAUAAUUCUCUCAAUUUUAAGAAUUGUUUUAAAUUUAAAUACGAUACCAGUGUAGGUAAAAAAUUCAAGUAAUAUGAAUAAAUAAAGUAAAAAACAAAACCCACUUCUACUCUCCAGGAAUAAUCAGUGUUAAAAACACAGAUAUUUUUCUGUAUAUAAGUGAAUGUAUUAAUGUAUCAAUGCACACGCCCACACACACACACAUGAGUAGAGUUAUGUUCUGGUGUCCAACACUCAUAGAUCCAGAGCCAUUGUUUUUUAAUUACAUGUUUUGGUGAAGGCUCCAGCUGCUGGUCUACAUAGACUGGUGGAAUUAUUUUGUUUAGGGAAAGUGCUCUUCAUGCUACUAGGAACAGAUAAGUCCCAAAGGACAUCUACCACGACAUUGACUCAUGCGGCAGGGGAUGCAGCAGGGGAGCAGUCUUGCAGGUCAAGCUCUGGAUCUCUGCUCCCUGCCACCUGUUCCCCUCCAACCAGACAGCAAACAUCACAUACCUACUUCUGGGCCAGAGAAGGGUGAGUGAGAAAUCAAGGAGAAAAGAAAAGCUCUUGUCCUUGGUUGCCGCAAGUGCCCUGGUGGCACAGAGACAGCCAGGUCCAAAAGACCACAGGUCACAUGAAAGAGAGUCAGGCUCUUGGUGGAAUUGGUAGACUCGUGAUCCCUUUAGAGGAUCCCUCCGUGCAGCCCUAUAUGCAGGGAUUGGUACUCUUUCGUUUGGGGAGCACAAUGAGGGAAGUGUUUUGUGUAAGUUGGAUGGUGAAGACAUGAGGCCAGCCUAUGAGAUGAGACUGAAUUUUUCCUCUCCUAGCCUUUGGGGUAGAUAUUGAGCUCCAGGGGACAGAGGUGAAGGCUGGAGGAAUUGUUGUCAUGAAAGACUCCGUGAGACAUUGUUUACAAGCUGUGCUACUUUAGGACCCUUCAGAGCUCUUACGGCAUAAAUUUGGUGAGAGAACCAUGCCUAACCUUACCUCCACCUCCCCCCCAGCCACAGAGCCCAGUGUUGUGUUGCCCCUUAGGACUCAGGAGGCCACUAGUGUGGGACUAGCAAGCAUGCCAGACUGUGCUCCCACAGAUGGCACCAGAAGCAGAAGCAAUGGAGGAGUACCUAGGUGAAGAAGCCAG